GUCAGAGGCUUAACCGACUGAGCCACCCUGGUCCCCCAAGGGUGAAGAAUUUAGAGAAAAAACUUUGGGUGAGUAAAUUAACAAGCUGUUUCCACUGACACAACUUCUGCUCUUUGGUGUUCUGGGUCUUGGAAAAUAAACUGAUUUUUCUGCUAACUGUGCUGGGUUUUAAAUGGGCAUCCGUCAAUGCGUAUUUUAUUUUCUUACCUGAAUCUUUGUCUGUUUCAGUCCUUUAAAAACAGCUAAGCAGCACCGGACAGCAACAGAACUUUACAAGGAGCUGCUUAUGUUGGGUGAAUGGAAAAGGGGCGAAGAAGCGGCCAGGCAGCAUGGGGCAUGACUUGGCAUGGGUUGUGUGCCGUGGGGGAGGUGUAGACUGUGUCCCCAGGACAUUCACCAGAACCACUCGCCUCUCCUCUCGCGCCACUAACUGGGUCCAAGCAUCUAAGCUUCAGUAGGACAUUUCUUUUAUAUAGGCGGAGAAAAACACUGGGUUCUCUGGCGACCAUGCUAGGUUUUUCGAUUCCUGAAUGUUUGACUGUCCGUGUCAUUUGGAUUUGAAUGUUUCUCUCUUCCUGGAACAGAGUGGACUCUGCGUGGAUGAAGUUUGCAGGUUUGAGUUGUGACAGGUUUGACUUAUUAGUGACCUUCCCUGCCUGUCUUCCCUAAAUGUUUCUUUUUUUCCAAAGAGUCAUACAGACUGAAACAAUACUUGGAUUUUCACGUGGGCAGAUUUAAUUUCCCAGAGAUAGCUGCACCAAAUCCCAUCCUACACGCACUUCUUACGGUGUCAUGAACACUCCUCCGUGGAGAGGUGAGGCUGAUGCCCCCCUCCCCUGCCAUGAGUCUGGGUGAGGGCUUGCGUUUGCUCUGACCUGCGUGGCAUGCUGGAAGUGAGUCUUUGUGACCUCCAGGGCUGGGUCACGAAAGGAUUUGGCGCCUACACGUGUCUCUGUCUCUUGGGAUCUGGCCCUGAGAAUCCAGGCACCAGACUGGAAGGAACCCAAAACCAGCCCACAUACAGAGAGCACAGGGAGGGGCCCACAUGGAGAGGAACCGGAGUCCUUCAGCCAGCGACCAGCGUCGGCUGCCAGAUGUGCGAGUGAAUGGCCCUUCAGACGGGUCCAGCCUCAGACAGUGUGGAAUGGAGAGUGUCGUCUCUGUCGUGCCCUGUCCGAUCUCCUGACCCAUCGAGCUCGGUUGGCUUUUCGUGUUGUGUAUUUCCAUGGGUUUCGACAGAUGUAGACAAUGACGUGUAUCCACCAUUAUAGCCGGCAUAAGUCUUUGCCCUUCCUGGAAUGUCAUAUAUUUGGAAUCCUACAGUCUGUAGCCUUGCAGAUUCUUUCGCUUAGUCGUACUCAUUGAAGGUUCAUCCAUACCGUUUCCAGGCUUGAUAGUGCAAGUUUAGUUCUGAAAAGUAUCCCCCUGUCUGGAUACACAACAGCUUAGCCUUCCGCUCAUCUGGUGAAGGACAUUUUGGCUGCUUCCAACACUGGGCAAGUAUGAACAAAGGUGCUAUAAACAUUUAUGUGCACGUUGUGCUUUGUUUUGCCUUUUAGCCCUGCUCCCCUCCUAUGUGCGGGUUUUUAUACGGACAUAAGGCUUUUAACUCCUUUGGGAUACUUUUAACAAGUAAAGAUGCUUUUUAAUGUAAUUUUACAUUUUGAAUCGGUAAUGUAUCCGUGUGGUA